UCCCAUCAGCUUGUUGGUAAGGUAAUGGCUUACCAAGGCUAAGACGGGUAGCUGGUCUGAGAGGAUGAUCAGCCACACUGGUACUGGAACACGGACCAGACUCCUACGGGAGGCAGCAGUGAGGAAUAUUGGGCAAUGGGCGAAAGCCUGACGGAGCGACGCCGCGUGCAGGAUGAAGGCCCUUGGGUUGUAAACUGCUGUCAGAGGGGAUGAAGUCACGGUUGGCUAUCCUUCCGUGUUGACAGAGCCUCAAAGGAAGCACGGGCUAAGUACGUGCCAGCAGCCGCGGUAACACGUACUGUGCGAACGUUAUUCGGAAUCACUGGGCUUAAAGGGUGCGUAGGCGGUUUAUCAAGUCAGGUGUGAAAUGCCAGAGCUCAACUGUGGCACUGCGCUUGAAACUGAUAGACUAGAGGGUUCCAGGGGUAUACGGAACUGCCAGUGGAGCGGUGAAAUGCGUUGAUAUCGGCAGGAACACCAGUGGCGAAGGCGGCAUACUGGGGGACAACUGACGCUGAGGCACGAAAGCUAGGGUAGCGAACGGGAUUAGAUACCCCGGUAGUCCUGGCUGUAAAC
rnacentral:rRNA from 1 species